AUGAUGUUGUCUAUGGAGACUUUGCUCACUGGGCCUCCACUGAUGAAGGUAAUCCGGAAAGAGCAUCUCUUGCUACUAAUGAGAGUGCUCCAGAGUGGGUUCUUGACUCUGGAGCAUCUAAGCAUGUUGCUAGUAACUCAUGUGUGUUCGAAUCUUACACUAAGCAUCCUCCCUCUCACACGGGCACUAUACAAACGGCUGAUGGCACAAAACAACCAGUCAUAG
rnacentral:rRNA from 1 species